UCCCUCCCCACCGCACAUCUCCCAGGAGGGUGGAGAGGCCUGGACUCAGCUUGUGUUUUCUGGGCAUGAGCUACAGCUGUUGCCAUUGCCUUCUGGGUUUGGGCAAGCCCUACCCACCCCACGGCUCCCCGACUCAGUCCCUCAGGGCAGCUGUCCCCACAGACCUGUUUGGGCUCUGGGCUCAUCCCUGGGGCCUGGCUGCCACCCUCAUCCCAGGCUCUUCCCGGGUCCCCGCCUGGUGUCCUGCACCUCCCCUACCUUGCAGCCUCUCCCUUGGUCCCCUCAGGGCCCCCUCUCCUGUGUCAUUCCUGGCGCUCGUCAUUUUUGGCUUUGUGUUAGAGCUAUGCAUGUGCUUCCUUUCCCUCAGCACUGUCUGAGAGGCUCAGUAGCCCUGCCUGCUGCUCUGGGGAGUGACUGUGGGAAGCCUGGUGUCAACCCGGUACUUCCUCAAGUGUGUUGAUGAGUUUCUGGGACCCUGCUCCUGGUCUCUCUACAACCCACCCCGACCCCAGCAAGCCUCAUGAAUGGGGCACCCCUGGGAGACAGGAGGAAGAGUAGAUGGAAGCCUGGUAGAUAGUGAUACAGGCCUCAUACAGACCAACCCUGAUCCUCCAGUGUCACCUCUCUGAGCCCUACCUGUGAUACGGAGAUCCAGGGCGGGCCUGACCACUGAACAGAAAUGCGCUUGGACUUCUCGGCUCCGCACAGAGUGAGUGAGUGAGUGAGUGAGACACUGUGGUGAGGACAAAGCAGAUGGUGCUGCUGCAGACGACCCGGUGGCUGAGGCCUCCGGGGCUGCUGCAGAAAGGGCUCUCUGGGGAGUGAACUCCGAGAUGAAGAUCAGCAUCUGGGGCAGAGCUGUUAGGAUCCACACCUGUGGGAGAGAGGGCACGGAGGCAGGAUUGCAUGAAAAAAGUUGAGGCUUCAGCUGACUCCAGGGGCUUGGAGUCUGGGAGGAGGACUGCAGUAAAUCCAGCACUGAAGGAAGGGCCAGACAUUUUAUAUCCCUACGUUGAUCACUCAUUCGCCCACUGUAGGACACCCCAGAGUGCAAUGAGACCUUGCUCCCAGUGGGUUUCUUCAGCUCCAAUCUCACAGGGCCAAGAAUGGAGGCUGUUGUCUAGCAAUUCUCCCAGCAGUGGGGAUGAUGAAGCCUUCUUUCCAAGGGAGUCUGAGCAGCCUAUCAUGGUGCCCACCCUAAAGUGGUUCUCAAACUCAAAUCACCUGGAGGCUGUGUUAAACCAUCGCUGAACCCCAAGUGCUGGAGUUUGACUCAGCGGGUCCUGAGAAUUUGCUCCCAGGUGGAGAUGCUGCUGCCCUGGGGACCACAUUCUGAGCACACUGUUCGAGUCUCAUCUUUUCAUACUCUGCAGACUGUGUAUUAUUUGGGGACUGUGUGAAUAUCCUGCUCUGACCUCUCACCCAAUGGUUUUAGCAUCCACUGACUUGCAGGUGUCAAUCAUUCUAUCAGUGGUUGCAGAUGGUGCUUCACUAAUUCUUUGAUUCCUUCUGGAUUUGUUAGCUGUCAUUCUGCUGUAAAGAGGAGCUUUCUCUCUCUCUGCUUUAUUCUUUAGACCAGUGGCUAUUUAUUUGAAUUACCUGCGAGCUUUUAAAAAUGAUUAGCGCCUGCCCUCCAAAUUCUGAUCGAAUUCUGUGGUUGGGGCUUGAGCAUCACUAUAUUUUUGAAGCUCCCAGGUGAUUCUGCUGUUCAGUCUGGUUUACACAGACCUAAAAGCCUGGCCUGGGUGCUGAAGAGCCAUGGGAAAGUUUGAUGCAGGGGAGCAAAGACCCCCAUUGGAGUGUUAGAAGGGGCCCUCUGAUGAGAGCUGGGGGGCGCUCUUCACACCCGUCAAAAUAUGAAACUGCCUGCCACCCAGCUCCAGAGGAGGACAGUGAGGUUCAGCGAAGUAAUACUUACAAAUCAUCUGGCUAUGCCGCCAGCUCCUUGGCCCUCCCUAGGCCCCUCCUGCCCACCUCCCCACCCCCAGAGGGGGACCUGGGUAGGGUCCUGGCCGAGCCUCCCAGCUUCAGAAGUCCGUCCUCCUCCUGGGACUUUUCUUUUAAGGCACCAAGAAGGAAGAAAAGGAGAAAAGUAUAUUUCUUCCCUUGAAAAAAGAGUCCUGAAGUGACACCUACCUGUUGACUAGAUCUUAGUCACAUGCUGGGAAAGGAGACUUCUUUCUGCCCCUCCCAUUUCGUGUCCAGAUGAAUGAACCCACAAGAACUUGGCUGGCUGGCUCUGAAUUCCGACUUCCCUGGGAAAGCACAGAACGUUACCUACACUGUUUAGCUGCUCCAGAAAGAGUUCUGCCAGGAGCAGAGGGGUGUAUCAGGGAGUUGUCUGAACAACCUCAGUGGCGUGACUCCAUUGAUAUGAGGAUCUGCCCUCGGACGGGAGGCGUCCUCUCUCUGAGGCAGGAAGGCCGUCUGAGGAGCCGACGGAGACACAGCCCUCCUCUCCCCAGUGCUGGGGAAGGAGAUUCUCUCUCUUGAACCCACAUCCACUUUUCCCACGGGACACAGGUGCCUCCACACCUCCCCCUGCCCCCCGCUCCCCACAGUCACUGGGCCCAUGAAAGAGGAGAAAUCUGGGAGAGGAGCUGGGCAAGUUGUAAAAAGAAGUUGUCUGUAGAAUUCCCCCUCUUCCUGCCUUGGGGCAUCCAGGCUUCAGGAACAUGGGGUGUCCUGUGAGGCUCUUGGUGUUCAUGUCCCUGGCCCACUGCUGCCUGACUUCUGACAAAGACCCCCUCACCCAUCUCAGGGCCUCUCCAGCCCCAUGCCUGCCUUGGCCUGUCCUCCUACAGCCUCAUGAAAAAGCCUGUCCUGCCUUCCCUUGUACUGAUCCUUGGCCUGGAAUGCUGACCCCACCCUGGCCUUUCGGCCCUCUGCCAAGUCCCGCUGCGCCCUCUCGCCUCAGUUCCCUGCUUCUACCCCACUUGACUGUGACCACCCCUCAUCCCAUCCCCACCUUGAAAUCCCCUUUGCGCCCAACACACAUUACUAAUGGGACCACUUUUGGUCUCGGGUAUAAGUAUCCGGCAGCUGUCCUGAGUUUUGCACUUGACUGAGGCCAUUGAGGUAGAGGCAACCUCGCUGUGUUUUUCCCCAAUGAGGAACAGAGUAGUUGCUCAUCAGUGUGUGCUGAAGGAACACUGAUGGACUCAGGUUAGCCCACCUCCACACUGCCCACCAAAUGAGAAGUGUUUGCCCGUGGGAACAGGGUGGUGGGUCCCUAGAACUAGGUGGACUUCCAGGGCGUAUUCAGUGGGCCGGCUGGGCACUCAGCACUGUUUAGGGCAUUGUUUGCAUGGGACAUGCACUCUGAGUUCCAUACAGCCUGGCUUCAGAUAAGCUCACAGGAACAAGUUGUCUUCUUUGAACUUGGCGACUGUCUGCAUUUGCCCAUAAGCAGGCCCAGGAGCCCAGUCUAAAGACUGGUCAAGAUGGGAAGACCAUAAGCAUUCCUGAAGCAGGAAGGAGCAGACAUGAAACAGAAAGUCCCCCAGCUCCUUGUCCUUUGAAAUUAUAAAGACCUGAAACCAUCUCCCCAGCCCACCCCUCCAGCACAACGAAACCCUAGCAAUUCCACUGUUGCCAGGAUUACAGCUGUCUACUUCACUGUGUCCUAAACAGAUUUCUCUGAACCUUGAAGGUCAACACUGCAGCACUUCCUGGAUAAAAAAUAAAAAAGUCGUUAGCUCCCAUUAGCCAAGGCCCACCUCUGGGCAUAUGGUAAGGACUGCAUCACUCUCCCCUUCCCUUUUAACC
ensembl:lncRNA